AUACCUUUAAUCGUACAGUACCAUUUUGUAUUUUUUUUACUUGGUGUUAAAAAAAUUAUUAAUCUGUCUAGUAGUAAUUAUUAAUUAUAAUGGUAUUCCGAUUCAAAUGUUCUGUAACAGCUACUUGACAAACAUUUAUUGUUUGUUUGUAGUGUGAUACAGCUUUAUCAAAGGAAUUAUAUCAAUUAUCACUGUUAUUUUCUCUUUACAAUGACUAUGAGUCAAUGAUGUUUCUGCAGAUACAUCAGGUUGGACAGAAAAACACAAGAAAGCAUAUUUAAAUCUCUUCUUUGUCAGUUUCUUGAUUGAUAGAGACAGUAGCCCGUGUCUCUAUUAUGAUCAAACUAUAUGCUCUUUAACCAUUUACCCGGUGAAGCCGAUCUCUUAAAUGUUCAGUCACCAGAAUAUUUAAUACUAUAAUGUUCUCAAAUGUUCAGAGGAUGUGAUAUGUGGGAAGUGACAUAAAUCAAACAAAAAAAAAAGAGAAGUGAAUGAAUAAAUACGUAAUGAUAUGUACAAAACAGUUAUUGUCAGCUUUAUAGAAAGUGUAGUAUUUUCCACUGUAUAUGUAACAUGGCAACCUGUGAUUUAAAUGAUUACAUAAUUAUAUUUAUCUGUGCAGUAUUUAACUAGAAAGACUGUAAAGGUCGCUACUUUGUUAAGAAAAACACACCAGCCUUGAGAAUGUAUUUAACAAUAUUUUGGGACAAUCUGCAUGGUAGCUAAAUUGUUAAUGAAAAUGUAUGGUUUGUUGUCUUUCACGCAAGCAUCGCUUCAUUCGGUGCUGUAACUGAAGGUAUGAUGGACACAUACACUAUUCAAGACGUUCAAGACAAGACAUAUAAUCUAUUCAAGCCCAGCAUACCAUUUAAAAUGAACAUUUCAACUUGACAUGAUGAUAGAUCUUCAUUUUUAUGUAUACUGCUUUGAUGUGGUUGUCAUGUUUAAGUGUUUGUUUGUUCUUGUACUUAGAAAUCAGCCGCAAUAAUUUUCUGACGUGUAUAAAAAGGCUGUACUUCCUUUUUCCUUCAGCUGUUCGUCAUGGUCUUAUGUUUAAAGAAUUCGUUCCUCAAUUCGACACGAAAAAAAUACAAAGUUGUCCAGAGUUCAGCUUUUUAAACAAUAUUUGAAAUAUCACAGAGGAAAAUGAAGCUGGUUUUCUUUCUUCUUGUCCUCUUGGAGAACGGAUUGAAUUUAACAGCAGAGCUCCAUGUGCUUUAUUCUUCACAGGAAAUUAUUUUAAAAUAUUUCUUUUACCCAUAUUAUAAUAUUUAUAAAAUAGGUUGUUGUAAGAUUAAUUUGUUGGGAUGCUACUCCUUUGUGAACAAUAGAGGACAAUUUGCCUCCCAGUAUGAAGGAAGAGCAUUCAUUACUAACUAUAAUGGCGGAUUUGAGGUAAAAAUUACAAACCUGAGCAUAACGGAUGCUGGAAGAUACAGAUGUGGAGUCAUAGGCAUCCCUGAAACCUAUGAAGAUGUUCAAGUUACAAUUUCUGAUUUAACAAGUAACAACAUAUUACACAGCUCCUCUCUCACCAAUAUCCUCGAUCAAAUCAACUGUCUGGCCCUCUUCUUCUCCCUCUACACCAAUUGUUUCAGAGGACGACAAAGAUAAAUUAAGUGACGGCUGGAGAGCAUCCUACACGCUAGCUGCUGUUUUAAGUGCUCUGGUGUUUGCUGUCAUCUCAGUCACACUGCUUGUCUGCCGUCUAAAGGCCAGGGUGAAGAAAUCCACAGAUGAAAGUGAAAUUUAUGAUUCUCCUAACACUACCCUGGAACAGAACGGCAUCAUCUACACUAUGGUGGAGUUCAAGCCUUUUCAGGAUCCAUCUGAACUUUAUGCCAAUUUGCAGAUCCACAACCCAAAAGACACUGAUGCCGAGUCAAACUCUACAGUCACAGUAGAGGAAAGUGUAUUAUACUCCACUAUUAUGAGAGCACCAAGAUAAAUAUUCACAAUGAUUAUGUUCUGUGUUUUGCUGUGGUUGCUUUUGUUUUCUUGAUGAAUUUGUUUUGUGAGAUUUAGCAAUAUUACUAAUUUAACACUGAUACUGCAGAAGUAUUUUUUUUUAUUCAUUAUGAUGAUAAACGCUUCAAAAUGUCUAUAGAAGUAAAACAGUACCGUCUAAAAAUGUGUAACUCUUUACUGUGAAACCAUUUUGGUAUUUGACUCAUGUUGAUGAUUACUUAACUACUAAUUUUAUUGUGGAUGAACAGAGAAAGUUUUAGUUAUGAAACUAUUGCUGGAUGUUGGAAAUCAGUGAAAACCAGAUUUUGCAAUCCUGUACUUCUUUAGGUAAAAACAGUUAGAUCCAGUUAGUCUUUGAGCGAGCGAAGCGUUGUUUGUAAUGAAUUAUUUCGGUGUUGUAUAGGAUUUAAAGGACACUGAGUUAACCAAGGCCACUCAAAUGAAUCACAACUAGGUCUACCACCUUCCCAACCAUACAAAUAAAUUCAUCAAUGACA